UUAACUCGGUUUUUCUUGUUUUUUUUUUUUUUUUAGGAAUAAUCAACAAGAUUCUCUCAUUCAGAGGUUGGGUUCCUUUAAGUAGGCUUACAUAUUGUGCUUACCUGUUGAAUCCGUUCCUGAUAAAUUCGACGUACCUUCACAGCGAGUCUGCUGUUCACGUAGAUUUUCUACCAAAUGGUACCUCAUUUCUUGGCAAUUUAGCAAAUACUUAUUUCUGCGCUUACGCUCUUUCACUCAUGCUAGAAACCCCGAAUAUCUUAAUUACGAGAUUGUUCAUUAAUUCUCGAAUGCGAAAGAGAUGAAAUCAAUGAAUUAAAUUAAAAAAAAAGAACCUAGGGAUUGUCCAAUUGUAUAUUUUGUUCGAGAUUUAGAAUAUUUUCUAGCGAUUUAAUGAAGUCUUCCCCAACACGAAAGGCUUUACUUUAAGUAUAUGCGAGACUUCGCUUUUGUGAUCGUGAAAGUCCGCUGUGUAAAAAGUCUCAUUUUACAGAGGAGAUAGCUCCAACGUGACAGUUUUUAUAAUCUUGUUCACAAUACGAUACAUGUAAUUUUGUUUUCCAGUGUAUGUAUAUAUAGAAUAGUCUUUGAAAACUUGUGGAUUCUACGAUAUAAAAUUCUGUAUCCAUUUAAGACUA